rnacentral:rRNA from 1 species
GACGAACGCUGGCGGCGUGCCUAAUACAUGCAAGUAGAACGCUGAAGGAGGAGCUUGCUUCUCUGGAUGAGUUGCGAACGGGUGAGUAACGCGUAGGUAACCUGCCUGGUAGCGGGGGAUAACUAUUGGAAACGAUAGCUAAUACCGCAUAAUAUUAACUAUUGCAUGAUAGUCAGUUGAAAGGUGCAACUGCACCACUACCAGAUGGACCUGCGUUGUAUUAGCUAGUUGGUGGGGUAACGGCUCACCAAGGCGACGAUACAUAGCCGACCUGAGAGGGUGAUCGGCCACACUGGGACUGAGACACGGCCCAGACUCCUACGGGAGGCAGCAGUAGGGAAUCUUCGGCAAUGGACGGAAGUCUGACCGAGCAACGCCGCGUGAGUGAAGAAGGUUUUCGGAUCUAAAGCUCUGUUGUAAGAGAAGAACGAGUGUGAGAGUGGAAAGCUCACACUGUGACGGUAUCUUACCAGAAAGGGACGGCUAACUACGUG